CGGGGCGGUAGGCUGACGGUCCGAGGACUGGAAACGAGCUUCUCGGAGCGGAGAAGGCACCCAGCGACUUCCACCCGCGCGGCCCGGGAAGCCGCGGCUGCGUUCAGCACCUGGCUGGAAAGGAUCCGGGUGGACAGUACUAUUCAUAGGCUCCCUGCUCACUGUACCUUCUCACCACUUAACCUCAGCACAUAUGCACCCGAUACAGUUGCCUCUUAACCAGAAUCCUUGGUGCUCUUCAUUACAAGCCCUUAAAGGAGAUGCCACUUUGGAAGCUUUGGAAAAGAUAAAGUUUUGUGACUUCCAUAUCGAAGCUGGGACCUGCUGGAGAUUAAAUCUCUCAUGACUCAGACCUCAUGAGAAAAGGGAUUUAAACCUGCAAGCAACUUCACCUCCUAGAAUUUAAACUGCAACAGGGAAGGAUCUCUCUCUCUCUCUCUCUCUCUCUCUCUCUCUCUCUCUCUCUCUCUCUCUCUCUCUCUCUCUCUCUCUCUCUCCCUUCUUCCCUCCCUACCCUCCCUUUCUCUGUUGUGUUUUGGGUUUAUUUUGAUCCCAUAUGCCUAAGCCGAUGGCUUGAGGUGAGGUAUAUGUUUGUUAAUGACUUAUAGCCAUCAUUAUCACAAUCGACUUCACUCCAAGCCACCAUGUUCUUUCAGCUGUGAGUCAUAAGAAACCAGGGCAAUGAUAUAGCCUCAUACUAACCUAUAUCCCUAAUUUCCCCCCCAUCCAAGUCUUCCACGGAGCCACCAGCAAGGAGAACUUUGAAACUGAUUUGAAUUUCCUCUACCUUUUCCUCUUCUGACUUGUAUUGCCCUACCCAUCCUUCUGGAGGAAUUUCUAAUGAGCAGAAGAGUAUCUCUAAAUGCAAUGAACCCAAAAGAGAAGGAAAUUUUUAAAAAGGCUGCAUAAAUACUCAGUGUUUACAUCUGCAGACUUUGGGCAUUUAUAAUUUAGAAUUUCUCCUUGCCCCCCCACCCCACCCCCACCACUCCUAUAGGGUCACAGACUUAAGAGAACACACUCCAGUGAGUCAUCAACACAGCUGAGCUAAUUAUGCUAAUGCAUUUAGAAAUUCUGAAGCUAUAGACAGAGUAGAAUGUAAAAUCACCACACCAGAAUAUCGUUGGCAUGAAGUUCAGCUCAAUGAAUCAUAAGAAAACUGCCCCUUUUGUUGGUGUCUCCAUGAAUGAUUCAUUCCCUUGAGCCCUGGGGAGCAAAGGCCUAUAUCUAGGUCUUGGUCAACCAAGCGUAACUGCUUGGCUAAAUCAUGUCCCAGCAGCUGACGUGAUUGCCGAGAUCCUGCUCAAAGUUAGUAUUUGAAAUUGAUGCCAGGCCAGUAAGCAGGGGAAAGUGUUCACCACGAAGCCUGACCUACCCGAGUUCGAUCCCAGGGAUCCCUAGUGAAAAGAGAGACGUAACUCCUGCAAGUUUUUCUCUGACCUCCACGUGUGUACUGUGGCACACACAUGCUCCCCCCCACAUACACACACACACAAUAAACAAAUAAAUGUAAUAAAAAGAAUGCCACUGUUUUAAUAACUAUAAAAUAAUGCUUAGAUUAUUGAUACUUGUAUGAACGCUGCUGCAAAAUGAACUCUUUGAAAGCAUCUAUACUCUACACCACCCUGGAUCUGCCUCUGGCACUGUGGAGGUCACUCUCUAUAAAACUGACCUCAUCACGCGUUUGUCUCCCUCCAUCUGACUCAGAGCUCCUUGAAUGGACCAGUAUUUGUAUUUUUAUCAGCAGCACCUGAAGUCCAGCUGGUGAUCAGGGAAAGGACUCAACAGAUCGAUGGCCUUUUUCAGUGAAGCUAUGUCUUUCUCCCCAUCAGUGUGAACACGACUGAGUACCUGUCGCAUCUAAAAUUGAGUUUUAAGGUUUUAUCGCCAUGAAAUGCUCAUUCCAAUUGUGUUGUGUAGUAAAAUGUGGCGGGAGGUAGAAAAGCUGCACCUCAGAGAGAUUUGGAGCCUCUGUGUUCAGACUGUUUUGCUCCACGUGAAAGAUAUCUGUAAAUAGAAAGCUGCUAAUGAUAGGGGCGGGGACACAAUUGGAUUGUCUAUAGAAAGACAGAUCCUUGUGAAUUCUGUUUAGAAUGUAAUACAAGUCCUGAAAAACA